GCUUGAGUCAGUCCUCACGGUGACGCUUUUCCCCAGCUUUUCCGAGUAGGAUCGUGCCCAGGGGAGGAGGCAGAGUAGUCAAGUGAAAAAAUGAGCUUCAUCUGUGGAUUGCAGUCUGCUGCUAGAAACCAUGUUUUCUUCCGAUUUAAUUCACUGUCUAACUGGAGAAAAUGUAACACAUUAGCAUCCACCUCACGGGGCUGUCAUCAAGUACAAGUUAACCAUAUAGUAAAUAAGUAUCAGGGACUGGGAGUAAAUCAGUGUGACAGGUGGAGUUUUCUGCCUGGAAACUUUCAUUUUUAUAGUACUUUUAACAACAAAAGAACAGGAGGCCUCUCAAGUACCAAAAGUA
rnacentral:lncRNA from 1 species